rnacentral:rRNA from 1 species
AUCGAACGAACUCUUCGGAGUUAGUGGCGGACGGGUGAGUAACACGUGGGAACGUGCCUUUAGGUUCGGAAUAACUCAGGGAAACUUGUGCUAAUACCGAAUGUGCCCUUCGGGGGAAAGAUUUAUCGCCUUUAGAGCGGCCCGCGUCUGAUUAGCUAGUUGGUGAGGUAAAGGCUCACCAAGGCGACGAUCAGUAGCUGGUCUGAGAGGAUGAUCAGCCACAUUGGGACUGAGACACGGCCCAAACUCCUACGGGAGGCAGCAGUGGGGAAUCUUGCGCAAUGGGCGAAAGCCUGACGCAGCCAUGCCGCGUGAAUGAUGAAGGUCUUAGGAUUGUAAAAUUCUUUCACCGGGGACGAUAAUGACGGUACCCGGAGAAGAAGCCCCGGCUAACUUCGUGCCAGCAGCCGCGGUAAUACGAAGGGGGCUAGCGUUGCUCGGAAUUACUGGGCGUAAAGGGAGCGUAGGCGGACAUUUAAGUCAGGGGUGAAAUCCCGGGGCUCAACCUCGGAAUUGCCUUUGAUACUGGGUGUCUUGAGUAUGAGAGAGGUGUGUGGAACUCCGAGUGUAGAGGUGAAAUUCGUAGAUAUUCGGAAGAACACCAGUGGCGAAGGCGACACACUGGCUCAUUACUGACGCUGAGGCUCGAAAGCGUGGGGAGCAAACAGGAUUAGAUACCCUGGUAGUCCACGCCGUAAACGAUGAUUGCUAGUUGUCG